rnacentral:rRNA from 1 species
GGUUAAGCGACUAAGCGUACACGGUGGAUGCCCUGGCAGUCAGAGGCGAUGAAGGGCGUGCUAAUCUGCGAUAAGCGCCGGUAAGGUGAUAUGAACCGUUAUAACCGGCGAUACCCGAAUGGGGAAACCCAGUGUGAUUCGUCACACUAUCAUUAACUGAAUCCAUAGGUUAAUGAGGCGAACCGGGGGAACUGAAACAUCUAAGUACCCCGAGGAAAAGAAAUCAACCGAGAUUCCCCCAGUAGCGGCGAGCGAACGGGGAGGAGCCCAGAGCCUGAAUCAGCAUGUGUGUUAGUGGAAGCGUCUGGAAAGGCGCGCGAUACAGGGUGACAGCCCCGUACACAAAAAGCGCAUGUGCUGUGAGCUCGAUGAGUAGGGCGGGACACGUGGUAUCCUGUCUGAAUAUGGGGGAAAUUAUCCUCCAAGGCUAAAUACUCCUGACUGACCGAUAGUGAACCAGUACCGUGAGGGAAAGGCGAAAAGAACCCCGGCGAGGGGAGUGAAAAAGAACCUGAAACCGUGUACGUAGAAGCAGUGGGAGCCCCACCACCAAAGCAUUCUCUGGUGUUGAAGGCCCUGCAAAGCAGCAUCGCGGUGGCGGAGCGUCGUUUGCGACGCCCAACACACAAAACAAGCGGUGAGUGCUUUGGGGUGGGGUGACUGCGUACCUUUUGUAUAAUGGGUCAGCGACUUAUAUUCUGUAGCAAGGUUAACCGAAUAGGGGAGCCGGAGGGAAACCGAGUCUUAAUUGGGCGUUAAGUUGCAGGGUAUAGACCCGAAACCCGGUGAUCUAGCCAUGGGCAGGUUGAAGGUUGGGUAACACUAACUGGAGGAAUGCGAACCGACUAAUGUUGAAAAAUUAGCGGAUGACCUGUGGCUGGGGGUGAAAGGCCAAUCAAACCGGGAGAUAGCUGGUUCUCCCCGAAAGCUAUUUAGGUAGCGCCUCGUGAAUUCAUCUCCGGGGGUAGAGCACUGUUUCGGCUAGGGGGCCAUCCCGGCUUACCAACCCGAUGCAAACUGCGAAUACCGGAGAAUGUUAUCACGGGAGACACACGGCGGGUGCUAACGUCCGUCGUGAAGAGGGAAACAACCCAGACCGCCAGCUAAGAUUCCCAAAGUCAUGGUUAAGUGGGAAACGAUGUGGGAAGGCCCAGACAGCCAGGAUGUUGGCUUAGAAGCAGCCAUCAUUUAAAGAAAGCGUAAUAGCUCACUGGUCGAGUCGGCCUGCGCGGAAGAUGUAACGGGGCUAAACCAUGCACCGAAGCUGCGGCAGCGAACGUAUCACUUAAAGCGAUUCAGCGGGUUACGAUUGACGGAGCGAAGCGACGUCAAAGCGUAUACAAAGUCGAGUCGGUUUAAGGAUACGUUCGUUGGGUAGGGGAGCGUUCUGUAAGCCUGCGAAGGUGGCCUGUGAGGGUUGCUGGAGGUAUCAGAAGUGCGAAUGCUGACAUAAGUAACGAUAAAGCGGGUGAAAAGCCCGCUCGCCGGAAGACCAAGGGUUCCUGUCCAACGUUAAUCGGGGCAGGGUGAGUCGACCCCUAAGGCGAGGCCGAAAGGCGUAGUCGAUGGGAAACGGGUUAAUAUUCCCGUACUUGGUGUUACUGCGAAGGGGGGGACGGAGAAGGCUAUGUUGGCCGGGCGACGGUUGUCCCGGUUUAAGCGUGUAGGUGUGUGUUCCAGGUAAAUCCGGUUCACUUUAACACUGAGGCGUGACGACGAGGCACUACGGUGCUGAAGCAACAAAUGCCCUGCUUCCAGGAAAAGCCUCUAAGCAUCAGGUAACAUCAAAUCGUACCCCAAACCGACACAGGUGGUCAGGUAGAGAAUACCAAGGCGCUUGAGAGAACUCGGGUGAAGGAACUAGGCAAAAUGGUGCCGUAACUUCGGGAGAAGGCACGCUGACACGUAGGUGAAGUGAUUUACUCACGGAGCUGAAGUCAGUCGAAGAUACCAGCUGGCUGCAACUGUUUAUUAAAAACACAGCACUGUGCAAACACGAAAGUGGACGUAUACGGUGUGACGCCUGCCCGGUGCCGGAAGGUUAAUUGAUGGGGUCAGCGCAAGCGAAGCUCCUGAUCGAAGCCCCGGUAAACGGCGGCCGUAACUAUAACGGUCCUAAGGUAGCGAAAUUCCUUGUCGGGUAAGUUCCGACCUGCACGAAUGGCGUAAUGAUGGCCAGGCUGUCUCCACCCGAGACUCAGUGAAAUUGAACUCGCUGUGAAGAUGCAGUGUACCCGCGGCAAGACGGAAAGACCCCGUGAACCUUUACUAUAGCUUGACACUGAACAUUGAGCCUUGAUGUGUAGGAUAGGUGGGAGGCUUUGAAGUGUGGACGCCAGUCUGCAUGGAGCCGACCUUGAAAUACCACCCUUUAAUGUUUGAUGUUCUAACGUGAAUCCGUGAUCCGGGUUGCGGACAGUGUCUGGUGGGUAGUUUGACUGGGGCGGUCUCCUCCUAAAGAGUAACGGAGGAGCACGAAGGUUGGCUAAUCCUGGUCGGACAUCAGGAGGUUAGUGCAAUGGCAUAAGCCAGCUUGACUGCGAGCGUGACGGCGCGAGCAGGUGCGAAAGCAGGUCAUAGUGAUCCGGUGGUUCUGAAUGGAAGGGCCAUCGCUCAACGGAUAAAAGGUACUCCGGGGAUAACAGGCUGAUACCGCCCAAGAGUUCAUAUCGACGGCGGUGUUUGGCACCUCGAUGUCGGCUCAUCACAUCCUGGGGCUGAAGUAGGUCCCAAGGGUAUGGCUGUUCGCCAUUUAAAGUGGUACGCGAGCUGGGUUUAGAACGUCGUGAGACAGUUCGGUCCCUAUCUGCCGUGGGCGCUGGAGAACUGAGGGGGGCUGCUCCUAGUACGAGAGGACCGGAGUGGACGCAUCACUGGUGUUCGGGUUGUCAUGCCAAUGGCACUGCCCGGUAGCUAAAUGCGGAAGAGAUAAGUGCUGAAAGCAUCUAAGCACGAAACUUGCCCCGAGAUGAGUUCUCCCUGAGACUUAGAGUCUCCUGAAGGAACGUUGAAGACGACGACGUUGAUAGGCCGGGUGUGUAAGCGCAGCGAUGCGUUGAGCUAACCGGUACUAAUGAACCGUGAGGCUUAACCUU